GUGCUUUCUGUGAAGCCGGGCUGUAAGGCAUCCGGUGGAGAGAUCACUAGUGAGAAUGAUGACAUGAGUAGCGACAAAGAGUGUGAGAGACACUCUCGCCGAAAGUCCAAGGGUUCCUGCUUAAAGCUAAUCUGAGCAGGGUAAGCCGGCCCCUAAGUCGAGGCAGAAAUGCGUAGACGAUGGGAACUAGGUUAAUAUUCCUAGGCCAGGAGGAUGUGACGGAUCAUGAAGGUUGUUCACCCUUAUUGGAUUGGGUGGGCCGCUAAUUGGUUCCUGGAAAUAGCCCUCCAUUAGACCGUACCCUAAACCGACACAGGUGGACUGGUAGAGCAUACCAAGGCGCUUGAGAGAACUAUGUUGAAGGAACUCGGCAAAAUACCUCCGUAAGUUCGCGAGAAGGAGGCCCGGUUCCUAGGCAACUAGGGGCUGGGGGCACAAACCAGGGGGUGGCGACUGUUUACUAAAAACACAGGGCUCUGCGAAGUCGCAAGACGACGUAUAGGGUCUGACGCCUGCCCGGUGCCUGAAGGUUAAAAGGAGGGGUGAGAGCUCUGAAUUGAAGCCCAGGUAAACGGCGGCCGUAACUAUAACGGUCCUAAGGU
rnacentral:rRNA from 1 species